GACGUAGGGCGCGAGCGUUGUCCGGAUUUAUUGGGCGUAAAGAGCUCGUAGGCGGCUCGUUGCGUCGGCUGUGAAAACCCGCAGCUCAACUGUGGGCUUGCAGCCGAUACGGGCGGGCUGGAGUUCGGUAGGGGAGACUGGAAUUCCUGGUGUAGCGGUGAAAUGCGCAGACAUCAGGAGGAACACCGGUGGCGAAGGCGGGUCUCUGGGCCGAUACUGACGCUGAGGAGCGAAAGCUAGGGGAGCAAACGGG
rnacentral:rRNA from 1 species